AGGCUUUUUUUCUUUUGGGACCUCUGAUCUUCCUGACAUCCUUCAGGACUUUUGUGCAACUGAAAAGAGCAAGUAGAAAAGUCUAGACCUAAUUGCUAAGUAAAAUGUGGCAAGGCUUUACAAUACAGAGCACAGUGAAGUGUUACAACAGCCUGCAGAUCAGAACAGAACAGGAAGGGAUCUCCAAAAUGCAGGACUGAAAUAUAUUGCUUCACAGCCAGAGUUUAAGAAUAACCAGACAAUCUUGAAAACCUCAACAUCACACAAUCUUGAAAACCAUCAACACCCCUCAAACUGCCUGGUGCUGAAUCACAUCCCAGUUUUUGAAUGUAAAAAUAUGUAGUCAAAGCAAUUUAAGCAUUAUUUGGAUGAAGAAGUACUUCAGGAAAAAAAAAAUGUGUUAAGGUUAAUUGAAUGCUAAUCUUCCAUCCACAUUUCUUUGACAUCCAGACACAUGGGUAAACGAGGCACAGACAAAUAAGAUCCAACAGAAACUACAUGAGUCAGGUGAAUUAUGUACAAGAUUUUCCCAAAGGCAUUCCACAGGAGUGAAGAACAGCAGAAUGGGAACUUUGAAUUGUUGCUUCAGACUGCUGGCAGCUUCACAAUAGUUGACCCACUUGUGUCUUAAGCAGGAGUUAACUUAUCAAAUAUACAAUAUGCAUGCAAACCUGUACAUGCUGCAGCUAUAUCUUCAUAUUCUUCACAUUAUUCUUGUUUUAUGUACAUCCUUAAUGCAGCAAACAACAGUUAGAUAUGCAAACCUCCAUGAUAACAGCAUAAAGCAACCUCAAUGUAGAUGCUUCCACUGAAGCAAAUAGCAAAACACACCUUGAUUCAAGCGACAAGCAGCUUAGUGCAACGCUUUGUAUGAAAAAUGAAAGGGAAUUUUAUCAUGGUGGGUUGCUGGGUUGUUUUGGGUUUUUUUUCAGUAUUAAUAUUUUCUUUAAGAAAUCCCAAAAUAUGUUAUGCCUUAAGACCAGCAUCUA